rnacentral:lncRNA from 1 species
AAUUUAUAAUGAUAAUAUAUAAGUCACAUAAACAGAUAUUAUAGAAAUAUAAUAUUAAAUUACAUUAAGUUAUUGAUAAAUUUUGUUAUAUAAAUUUAAAAUAUUUUAGCUUAGAAAGAAAAAAUCUGCACGGAUGUGCGGAUCGAGAUCUACUAUAAGUUAUAACCAAUAAUUGCUUCAAAAGGCUCCACGUCACGUAGCAUUAGAGACUUUAGAGUGAGCUGCAGGCUGACAAAAAAAAAAGAGUGAACUGCAAUUUAUUAAAGUAAUAUUAUUGGCGAGCAAUAAUAAUUACGUAGAAAAAUGGCCGCCACGGUGGUCCAGACAUAAUCCACGUGAUGCUCGUUGUCAUAUGGCGAAAGGCCCACGCUGUUCCACAUCAUCGCGCCAGCUGUCUCCAGUUCCCCUAAACGCAGUCAUUUUAUAACCGUCGGAUAUAACAAAUCCAACGGUUGAG